GUAGGUGGCAAGCGUUGUCCGGAAUUAUUGGGCGUAAAGCGCGCGCAGGCGGUCCUUUAAGUCUGAUGUGAAAGCCCACGGCUCAACCGUGGAGGGUCAUUGGAAACUGAGGGACUUGAGUACAGAAGAGGAAAGCGGAAUUCCACGUGUAGCGGUGAAAUGCGUAGAGAUGUGGAGGAACACCAGUGGCGAAGGCGGCUUUCUGGUCUGUAACUGACGCUGAGGCGCGAAAGCGUGGGGAGCAAACAGGAUUAGAUACCCUGGUAGUCCACGCCGUAAACGAUGAGUGCUAAGUGUUAGGGGGUUUCCGCCCCCCUUAGUGCUGCAGCUAACGCAUUAAGCACUCCGCCUGGGAGUACGACCGCAAGGUUG
rnacentral:rRNA from 1 species